UACGAAGGGGGCUAGCGUUGCUCGGAAUCACUGGGCGUAAAGCGCACGUAGGCGGAUCUUUAAGUCAGGGGUGAAAUCCCAAGGCUCAACCUUGGAACUGCCUUUGAUACUGGCAAGCUAGAGUCCGGAAGAGGUAAGUGGAACUCCUAGUGUAGAGGUGGAAUUCGUAGAUAUUAGGAAGAACACCAGUGGCGAAGGCGGCUCUCUGGCCCGCAACUGACGCUGAGGCGGCGAAAGCGUGGGGAGCAAACAGG
rnacentral:rRNA from 1 species